rnacentral:lncRNA from 1 species
GCUGAACUUAGUUUUCUUGAAUUGCCAUGCUUCUUUUUAAACUUUUACAGUAAGGCAAUAGAUAUGUGGGGGCAGGUUUUGGAAACAGUGUAUGGAGAUCUGGUGAAACUUACUGUGAAGCUUUAGGUUUUAUUAUGUUUCCAUUCACUAUCUUAUGUGCUUGAUUUGAAAUGGCUGUAUUCUCUCUUAUUGGUUUAAUAGUAGGAAGCUACACGUGUCAGUCAUUGUGUGUCUAAGCUAGGGCGAUUCUUAAUUAUGCUUAUCCUUGAUCUCAUGAUCCCAACUAUCUUCCAAAAUGAGAAUGUUCUCCAUAAUGACAGUAAUAUUUAGUUAUAUUUCCAAUAUGAGAAUGAAAAACUAUCUCUCAAGGCUACGAGUGACCUAUUCCAAAAGGAAAGCUCCAACAUGACAGCUCUAUUUACUUCUUUCAGGUUGGGGUCUCAGUAUUUGUGAUAGGAUAUGGAAGCAGACUGUAUCUUAUUGCUAACUAUAUUUCUCAAUCUUAGUGCCUUGUUGAUUUUGGUCUUUAUUAUUUAAUGUUUUUGAACUUGAUCACCUAACAUAUGGGCUGAACUGUUGUUUAUCUACAAUAGUAUUUCAAAGUGUUUUUGUAAUCUUCUUCGUGCUCUUGGUUUUGAAUUUGUGGCUUCCCUUGAUAAUUUAGAUUUGUGAAUUUAUGUUAUUGUUUUUGUACUUUGUCAUGUCAUCUUUUUAAGAAGAUUAGUUUUCUCAAAUCGCCACGAGUCUUCUUGAGCUUUGCCACGAGUAUUCUUGAGCUUUUACAUGAAGGAUGUAGGGGUCAGGUUUUGGAAAUAAUGGAUGGAGAUACAGUUAAACUUUAGGCUUUAUUAUCUUUGCAUUUAUUAUGCUGAUAAAAAAACAUCUUUGCAUUCAUUAUUUUCUUUGUUGUUAUUCCUUUUGCUACUCUUGUAGAGUUGGAGUUCUUGUAAUUGGGCAUUUGACUUUGAUGAUUUGAUUAUCUUUUACUUGUGUUGUAGUGAACUUUGAGCUUUGCCAUUAGUCUUCUUGACCUUUGCCAUGAGUGUUCUUGACCUUUGCCACGAGUUUUCUUGAGCUUUGCCAUAAGACUUUUUGAGCUUUGCCAUGAGUCUUCUUGUGCUUUGCCAAGAGUCUUCUUGAACUUUUCCAUCAUGAGUCUUCUUGAGCUUUGUCAUGAGACUUAUUGAGCUUUGCCAUGAGACUUAUUGAGCUCUGCCAUGAGACUUAUUGAGCUCUGCUAUCUAGUACUUCUUGAGCUUUGCCAUGUAGUACUUCGUGUAGCUGCCUAUUGAGUUCUUCUUGUAGCUUUAGCCCUUGAGUUCUUCUUGUAGCUUUGCCUAUGUAGACUUAUUGAGCUUUGCCACGAGUUUUCUUGAGCUUUGCCACGAGUCUUCUUGAGCUUUGCCAUGAGUCUUCUUGUGCUUUGCCAUGAGUCUUCUUGAGCUUUGCCAUCAUGAGUCUUCUUGAGCUUUGCCAUCAUGAGUCUUCUUGAGCUUUGCCAUGAGACUUCUUCAGCUUUUCCAUGAGACUUCUUGAGAUUUUCCAUGAGACUUAUUGAGCUUUGCUAUCAGACUUCUUGAGCUUUGCCAUGAGUCUUCGUGAGCUGCCAUGAGUCUUCUUGAGCUUUGCCCUGAGUCUUCUUGUGCUUUGCCAUGAGACUUCUUGAGCUUUGCCAUGAGAUUUCUUGAGUUUUGCCAUGACUCUUGUUCAGCUUUGCCAUGAGUCUUCGUGAGCUUUGCCAUGAGUCUUGUGCUUUGCCAUAAGUCUUCUUGAGCAUUUACAUGAAGGAUGUAGGGUUUAGGUUUUGGAAACAGCGGAUGGAGUUACAGUUAAAGUUUAGAUUUUAUUAUCUUUGCAUUCAUUAUGCUGAUAAAAAAAAUCUUUGCAUUCAUUAUUUUCUUUGUUGUUAUUGUUUUUGAUACUCUUGUGGAAUGGGAGUUCUUGUAAUUGGGCCUUUGACUUUGAUGAUUUGAUUAUCUUCUACUUGUGUUGUAGUGAAAUUUGAGCUUUGCCAUGAGUCUUCUUGAGCUUUGCCAUGAAUUUUCUUGAGCUUUUACAUGUAGGAUGUAGGGGUCAGGUUUUGGAAAUAGCAGAUGGAGAUACAGUUAAAGUUUAGGUUUUAUUAUCUUUGCAUUUAUUAUGCUGAUAAAAAAAAAUUUGCAUUCAUUAUUUGCUUUUCUGUUAUUCUUUUUCCUACUCUUGUGGAGUGGGAGUUCUUGUAAUUGGGCCUUUGACUUUGAUGAUCUGAUUAUCUUUUUCUACUUGUGUUGGAAUGAACACUUACCAUGGAAGCUUCAGGUUUUAUUACUUUUCUACUCACUAUUUUUCUUAUGUGCUCGAUUUGGAAUGUCUACAGUUUCUCUUAUUGGCUGGAUAGUUGGAAGGUAUUUCAUUGUAUGUAUCUAAGCAAGUGAUACGUCUAGGUCCUCCAUCAUCUACCCUUAUUGAUUAUAGUUUUCUUGAAUUCAUUGCCACGAGUUUUCUUGAGCUUUUCCAUCAUACUUCUUGAGCUUUGCCAUGAGUCUUCUUGUGCUUUGCCAUGAGUCUUCUUGUGCUUUUCCACGAGUCUUCUUGAGCUUUACCAUCACGAGUCUUCUUGAGCUUUGCCAUCAUGAGUCUUCUUUAGCUUUGCCAUGAGACUUAUUGAGCUUUGCCAUGAGACUUAUUGAGCUUUGCUAUCAGACUUCUUGAGCUUUGCCAUGAGACUUCGUGAGCUUUGCCAUGAGUCUUGUUCAGCUUUGCCAUGAGUCUUCGUGAGCUUUGCCAUGAGUCUUCUUGUGUUUUGCCAUAAGUCUUCUUGAGCUUUUACAUGAAGGAUGAAGGGUUCAGGUUUUGGAAACAGCGGAUGGAGUUACAGUUAAAGUUUAGAUUUUAUUAUCUUUGCAUUCAUUAUUUUCUUUGUUGUUAUUCUUUUUGCUACUCUUGUGGAGUGGGAGUUCUUGUAAUUGGGCCUUUGACUUUGAUGAUUUGACUAUCUUCUACUUGUGUUGUAGUGAACUUUGAGCUUUGCCAUGAGUCUUCUUGAGCUUUGCCAUGAUACUUGUUGAGCUUUGCAAUGAGUCUUCUUGAGCUUUGCCAUGAAUCUUCUUGAGCUUUUACAUGAAGGAUGUAGGGGUCAGGUUUUGGAAACAGCAGAUGGAGAUACAGUUAAAGUUUAGGUUUUAUUAUCUUUGCAUUUAUUAUGCUGAUAAAAGAAAAAAUUGCAUUCAUUAUUUGCUUUUCUGUUAUUCUUUUUGCUAGUCUUGUGGACUGGGAGUUCUUGUAAUUGGGCCUUUGACUUUGAUGGUCUGAUUAUCUUUUUCUACUUGUGUUGGAAUGAACACUUACCAUGGAAGCUUCAGGUUUUAUUACUUUUCUACUCACUAUUUUUCUUAUGUGCUCGAUUUGGAAUGUCUACAGUUUCUCUUAUUGGCUGGAUAGUUGGAAGGUAUUUCAUUGUAUGUAUCUAAGCAGGAGUGAUACGUCUAGGUCCUCCAUCAUCUACCCUUAUUGAUUAUAGUUUUCUUGAAUUCAUUGGCCUUACAGGAAAACUAAGCAAUGAAGUGUGGUGUAGGAUGUAAAAAUGGUGGGUGGAAAUUCUUUGAUCGGUGAAGCUAAAUGUUUUUUUCACCAGGACAUUGUUGUGUUCAUCUGAAUUAAUUUUUAACUGGCACAACUUGUCAGUUUGAUUAUAAUUUUGGUUGUAACUUGUUGGUUUGAUUAUAAUCUUGGUUGUAUUUUGAUAAUGUAUGGUUUGUGGGAUGAGCAUCAGACAACUGCGGUUGGGCUUUGAUCUUUGAUUUGAUGGUUUGCUUCUUGGUUUGAGAAGUUCUACUAUUUAAUUUUGUUGACUUCUAUGCAUAAUUCUAUAAUAUAGGUGUUUUGUUCUUUUAAUAGUUUUCCAAAACCUUUCGAUUCAUUAUUCUUGAUCCCAAACAUAUGGGUUGAGUUGUGAACUUCUUUGGAAUUUUUGCAUGUAACUCUUACGCUGAAAUUUUUGAAAUUAGUAUAAGAAUGAUCCUGAAAUUGAAAUUGUUUAAAUGCUUCACUUUUGCAUCAACAAUCUCCAUAUGUGUUUCACGUUCCUCGAUUUUUGAAAUUUGCAUUUUUUUGUUUGCAACACAUUGAGUCUUUAUCUGAGGUUUCUCUUUCAGUUUAUUAACUCAACCAGUGAUGGAAUAUAGUGGGACGACUAACAUGUCUAAUCAACCCGUUACAGAUUUUUUUUUCUUUUUUUCCUUUAUUGUUUAUUGAGUUGAGUGUUUUCAAAAUAUUUUUGUAACCACUUGGGAUUGAAAGUCCAACGUUAUGCCUGGCAUUAGAUAAUUGGACUUCUUUUAUUAGUUAUCCAAACCGUUCAUUUUUUUCAUAUUUGUUCUAUUUGGACAGGAAUUGUAUGCGAGAAAGAUAAUGGAGUUUUGGAGGUGAAUUUGUUUCAUAUUUGUUCUAUUUGGACAGGAAUUGUAUGUGAGAAAGAAAAUGAAGUUUUAGAGGUGAAUUUGUUAAUUCCAGUUAAAACGAAGAACUCUUGAUAAAGUAAUUUUCUUUGUUAUUCUAUUUCUCUAUCCAAUCCAGUUGUUGCAUUAAUCCCUUUUCAGCAUACAGAACUGUGACCGAUUUUAAGUUUGUAUGCAACGACGUUUUUUGAAAUUGUGUCACAAACUUAUUAUUAGGACUUAUUACCUUGGUUUUAUCUGAUCAUUCUGGACGUGCUAUAUUCUUUUGUGGGUUUUUGUUUGGUUUCAAUUUUCAGUAAUGUUUGAUAAUUGGAUUUUUUUGUUUGCAUAUCAGAAACUGAACCAAUCUCAAGGCAUUAAGUUUCUAUAGUUGGAGUAGUAUGAGACAACUUUGUUUCUCUGAAAUUUAGAUAGUCUCUAUAAUAUUGCAUGGUAGUUUUUUUUAUACGAUGUACAAGUAUAUCCAGUUUUAUUUGGAUAUUUUUUAACAACAAUGUUUUUUGGAAUAUGAUUGCUUGAGUGCUACCAUGUGAAAGUUCAACUUAAAACGACUACAACUCAUAAUAGCCUAAUUUCUUCUAUAUGAGGUUUCACCUUUUAUUUAACUUCUAAGGUCUUGAUAACCAACAUUAGGAUUGAAUUGUGAUUUGUUUUUCUACCGUGGUUUAUGAUUGGAUUCAAACAAUGUCUGGUUCUCAUCGAGCCUUUAAUGAGUUGGUUUCUAAGUUUAAGAAAUCGUCUAAUAUUUUCUAAAAUUCCUCCCUUGGAACAAGUGUUUUUAGUUUUCUUGAAUUUUUGCUCUUUACAGUUAAGACAUGCAAUGGAUGUGUGAGGACAUGUAGAAACAUGGGAUCAAUUGAAGUCUUAGUUUGUGUUAAUUGGUUUAGGAUUUCCUCUCUAUUUGAUAUUUUCAGAUUUGAUCACCAAAUAUAAGGAUUUUCCGUUGUCAUUUGUUUCUCUGCAGUGAUGUUUGCAUUAUGUUUCAUGCUACGUCUAAUGUAUCAUGUUGUCUGGAAGUUUUUAUGGCUCUUGGUAACAGGCUUUACAAGGGUUUCAGAGGAUCAGUAAUUUCAGAGGUGAUACCUAUUAUCAUAAUUGUGUCUUGCAGUGUGAAUUGUUCAAGUUUAUUCAUUUGCAUAAGGGAUCAGUUAUUCAUUCAUUUUUGCAGAAGAUUAGAUGGCUAACAUUAUUGUCUGUUCAUUUGAUCCAGUAGAGCCCAUUCUAGAAAUGUGAACUCCUCUUUUUUGUUGAUUUUUAGAUUUGGAAUUGUUCAAGUACCAACAGCAUGAUUUCAUGGUCUCUUAUGAUUUCCCCUGAAUUCUUGGUUGUUGUUUUGACCGGGUAGGGUUUGGGUAGAGUUUUGGUUUUUGGAUUAGGAAUUGUCCAACUACCAACCAUGUGUGUACAAGUUUAAAAUAUAUGAUGUGUUUGUCAGAUAUUUUUUUGGGAUAUAUAUAUAUAUAUAUAUAUAUAUUUAGUUGCUAGUUUUAUUUAUUGAAUUACAUAAAUGCUUUAUUAAUUUGAUCAUUUGAUUAUAGCAGAGUUGUAGUGGUUUUUAUAAAAUUAUUCUUGGUAGUUAUAUAAUUAUUCAUGGUUGUUAUAUUACCUUUAAUAGUUAUUGUUCUUGGAAAAAUAAUCUAGAAGUCCUUUGUUGACUAAUGAUUCUCUAACAUUUUUUUAAAUUUUAUAGUAGUUGUACUUUGCUUUGACAAUUUAGUUUAGUUUUUUUUAUUGACUCUGAUUGUUAAUUAAAUAUUUAUUUUCAUUAGAAUGUUGAUGAUGUGAAUGAUUUGUUUUAAUGUUGAUUGUGAUUCUAUUUUAUAAAAUAUUGUGUUAUGGUAAUCAUUAAUUAAUUGCAUUGUAUGCACUCAUUUAUCAUAUUGUUGUAUGACAAAUCUUAAAGCCCUGUAUGAGAAAGGUUCCUGGGUUGCUCUGUGGAAAGUUCUAAAACUCGCUCACAAUAGUAAAUUAUGGAUCAUGUGCUUUUACGCAAGAAUUAUUAGUAAAUUCAUGUACAUGAAUUCUUAGUAUAGUUCAUCUAGUUGAUGAUGACGAGUUUUUAACCUUUCGCUUAAAUUUGUUUGCACUUUUAAGCUGGUUGGUUCACUGAUAAUUCUUUUGCCUAUGGAUGGUAUGAAAACCCCAACAGCCACGGGCUCAGCAUAACGAAAGUCUUUUGAGUUUCCCUUUUAUUAUUAUUUUUUUUCUGGUAUUGAUGACCGAAAAUAAGGAUUGAACUAUGAUGUGUUUAUCUGCAGUGGUGUUUGGAUUAGUUGGGUAUAUUCGUCUUAUCAAGUUUCUAUACUUUCUCAUAGCAAGAGGGUUUAUCGUUUCCUUCAAUAAAAUUUGGUAUUCGUGUUCAUUCCUUUUCAGCAAGUCAUGAGUCUGAGAUUUCUUUUGGCGGUUGAGGAACAAGAAUGGUUUUACAGGAGAUCUAAUUUCUCUAUACUUUAUCACCAACAUUGAAUAGUGAUUUGUUCUUAUGCAGUACACAUAAGGAUUUAAUUUUGAUUUGUUUCUCUACAACAAUGUUUUGAUUUUUUCGUAUAAUGUCCUGCAUCUCAUGGAGUAUGUUAUGCGGCAUAAUAGUUGAAUUGUAAUUUGCUUCUCUGCAGUGUGAAAAUCGCUUACCGUACUGCAUCUCAUGAAUUGUUCUUUACAGGGAUGUGUGGUAAUUAGCAAGAGCUCAGGACUAUUUGGUUUCAAUUUUUAUAUAACAAAACUUUAUUUUGUCUUUAAUAGUUUCCUUCAUUGAAAAAUUGAAUUUUGAACUUGGUUCUUGUAAAGCAUCAAUGUCGUUGCCUAAUUUGUGUUUCAAGAUUAUUGAUCUUUCGUAUUGAAGUUCUGAAAAUUUUAUUUUUUUCUUAGGUGGAGCAGUAUUGAAAAGAUGUUAUUCCAUUCAUUUUAGUAGUGUAAUUAGCAAGAGCGCAGGACUAUUUGCCUCCAUUCUUUGAUUAUAGAAGUUUUUAUUUUGUUUGUUUCCUGCAUCUACAAAUGAAUUUUGAACUUGUUCUUGCAUAAUUUAUCAUUGGGAGAAAAUGAAUUGGUGGUGUAGGUUUGGGAAACAGUGGAUAAACACCUGUGGAAAUUUAGGUUUUAUUCUGUGUUUAUUAUUAUAAUGCUUACCUCUUUAUGAUAGGCACUGUAAACGUCUGUGUCAGCCAUUUAAUUUUCUCUUUCUUGUCCAUACUCAGACAUUUCUACCAGCAACUGAGUCAUUUAAUCGCAAAGAGAGUUUUGAGUAUAAUUCUCUAUUUGAGUAUAAUGAGUUUUAUACCUUUUGCGUAAAUUUCUUUUCAGCUGGUGGCUGGUUUUUUGGCAUUUCUUUUACGUAUGGAUUAUAUGAAAAGCUCAACGACCAAGGGCUCAACAUAACUUUAAGUCCUUUUUGAGUUUCCCUUCUAUUAUUUUCUUUAUGGUAUUACAUAAGGACUGAACUAUGAUUUGAUUUGUUUAUAUGCAGUGGUGUUUGGAUUAGUUGCGUAACGUGUCUUAUUUUCAUCGUAUCAAGUUUCUGUACUUAGUAAAUUCAUUUUGGUGAAUUUUGAGUAUAAUUCUCUAUUUGAGGAUGACGAGUUUUAUCCUUUUGCAUAAAUUUCUUUUCACCUUUUGAGUUGGUGGCUGGUUCUCUGGCAUUUCUUUUGGCUAUAGAUGAUAUGAAAAGCACAACGACCAAGGGGCUCGACAUAACCUAAGUCUUUUUUGUGUUUUCCUUCUAUUUUUCUUUAUCCUGGUAUUGAUCACAGUUCAUAAGGAUAUGAUUUGUUUAUCUGCAGUGGUGUUUGAAUUAGUUACGACGCAUAUUCGUCUUAUAAGUUUCUAUAACUAGUAAAUUCAUUUACGUGAAUUUUGAGUAUAAUUCUCUGUUUGAGUAUUACGAGUUUUAAACCUUUUGCGUAAAUUUCUUUUCAGCUCGUGGCUGUUUUUUUGGCAUUUCUUUUGCCAAUAUGAAAAGCACAACGACCAAGGGGUCGACAUAACCUUAACUCCUUUUUGAGUUUCCCUUCGAUUAUUUCCUUUAUGAUAUUACAUAAGGAUUUAACUAUGAUUUCUUUAUCUGCAGUGGUGUUUGGAUUAGUUGGGUAACGACGCAUAUUCAUCUUACAAGUUUCUAUAACUAUUAAAUUCAUUUACGUAAAUUUUGAGUAUAAUUCUCUGUUUGAGUAUUAGGAGUUUUAAACCUUUUGGGUAAAUUUCUUUUCAGCUGGUUUUUGGCAUUUCUUUUGCCUGUGGAUGAUAU